rnacentral:rRNA from 1 species
AUUGAACGCUGGCGGCAGGCCUAACACAUGCAAGUCGAGCGGAUGAAGGGAGCUUGCUCCUGGAUUCAGCGGCGGACGGGUGAGUAAUGCCUAGGAAUCUGCCUGGUAGUGGGGGAUAACGUCCGGAAACGGGCGCUAAUACCGCAUACGUCCUGAGGGAGAAAGUGGGGGAUCUUCGGACCUCACGCUAUCAGAUGAGCCUAGGUCGGAUUAGCUAGUUGGUGGGGUAAAGGCCUACCAAGGCGACGAUCCGUAACUGGUCUGAGAGGAUGAUCAGUCACACUAGAACUGAGACACGGGCCAGACUGCGACGGGAGGCAGCAGGGUGAAAUAUUGGACAAGGAGCGAAACAUUGAUCACGCCAUGAGGGGUGUGGGAAGAUGGUUUGUGGAUGGUAAAUCACGUUAAAUUGGGAGGAAGAGCAGUAAGUGAAUUCCUUGCUGUUUUGACGUUACCAAAAGAACACGCACCGCCUAACUUCCGGCCAGCAGCAGCGAAAUAGUAGGCAAAGCCAACGUCGGACC